rnacentral:rRNA from 1 species
GAAACGCUGGCGGCGCGCUAACACAUGCAAGCUCGAACGGAAAGGCCUCUUCGGAGGUACUCGAGUGGCGAACGGGUGAGUAACACGUGGGUGAUCUGCCCUGCACUCUGGGAUAAGCCUGGGAAACUGGGUCUAAUACCGGAUAGGACCAUGCUUUAGUGUGUGUGGUGGAAAGUUUUUUCGGUGUAGGAUGAGCCCGCGGCCUAUCAGCUUGUUGGUGGGGUAAUGGCCUACCAAGGCGGCGACGGGUAGCCGGACUGAGAGGUUGGUCGGCCACAUUGGGACUGAGAUACGGCCCAGACUCCUACGGGAGGCAGCAGUGGGGAAUAUUGCACAAUGGGCGCAAGCCUGAUGCAGCGACGCCGCGUGGGGGAUGACGGCCUUCGGGUUGUAAACUCCUUUCGCCAGGGACGAAGCGUUUUGUGACGGUACCUGGAGAAGAAGCACCGGCUAACUACGCGCCAGCAGCCGCGGUAAUACGUAGGGUGCAAGCGUUGUCCGGAAUUACUGGGCGUAAAGAGCUCGUAGGUGGUUUGUCACGUCGUCUGUGAAAUUCCACAGCUUAACUGUGGGCGUGCAGGCGAUACGGGCUGACUUGAGUACUGUAGGGGUAACUGGAAUUCCUGGUGUAGCGGUGAAAUGCGCAGAUAUCAGGAGGAACACCGAUGGCGAAGGCAGGUUACUGGGCAGUUACUGACGCUGAGGAGCGAAAGCAUGGGUAGCAAACAGGAUUAGAUACCCUGGUAGUCCAUGCCGUAAACGGUGGGCGCUAGGUGUAGGGACCUUUUGGGGUUUCUGUGCCGUAGCUAACGCAUUAAGCGCCCCGCAAUGGGGAGUACGGCCGCAAGGCUA